AGUUAAUAAUAUAAAGUAAUUAAGCCACAUAAGUUACAGAUUGUUACCUUAUGUUAUGUUGCAUUUUGUUGCUCCACAAAAGUUAACUGCGGUGUGGAUACACGGUAAGGCGAUUAAGAAUAUCGAGAAGAAACAAGAACUGCAGUUAUGGGUCGACCGAUAUGGGUAUUCUGAAAACAUGAAAUAUAGAAUCACGUCGAAGACGUGAAAUAAAUCCAAAGAUGAUUUCAUUGUGUAGCCACUAGUACCCUAUUGUGCCUGAACGCAAGGCGGAUUCGAGUUAUUUCCAAUACUUUAUUCUCCACGCGCGUGACAACGCGUGCCUAAUUUUCAAUCUGUGAUAUCACCUUCAUUCUGCUGGCUGCGUAUUGCAGCAAGUCGGCACUAAUCUUAAGAAUUACAAAAAUCUGUAAUAGCUCAUCGAUAAAGGAAACCCGAUGUCAUUUUGGCUACAAUAAAACAUUAGAUAAGUUGGAUGACGGUGAGACGUAAAAUAUUGUGGUCCAGAAACAUGUGCGGUCUAAUAGGACUGACUUUUCUGAUAGUGAACGAAUUAUUUAAUUAUUUAGCAGAUAAUUGCUAGCCUUAUUAAUAUAGCGACAACAUUAAUAAUUGUUGAACAAGGUGAACCAAAACAUUUAGUAGUAACUGAAAAUAUGUUGUCGAAAUUUGCAUUUUUGUAUACUACUAGGAACAUAGAAAGGUCUAGAGGAAACGGAAAAGUGAUGUUAUUGUCAUCCUAUUGUUUUACGUGUCUGUUUGAUUACUCAUUAAACAUGAUUGCCUUCUUAUUUCUUUAAAAAAUAAAUUAUUUGUAAAAAACAUAUUAUUUUAUUUACAAUCUGAACUUUUUGUAGUUAAGAAAAAAGAAGUUUCGUCGAAACUUCGCAAAUUUCUUACCACAUACUACAUUUAUUGCGAACUUUCGUGAAUAAAUAUGAACGAAUGAAAUGAAACUUAUGACGGGAUAUUUACCAUGUUUAUUCACUUCGAUGGAUUGCGAUAUUUCGGCACUGUUGCAAGCGCCAUGAUCACGUCAUGAUGAUUAUCAUCAUCAUCAUCCGUGAAUAAACAUAGUAAAUAUCCCGUCAUAAGUUCUAAUAAUAGUGUUAGUGACUAUGUCUGUUUAAAAACUUAUAUGAAUAAAAUGAAGAUAAAUA